AUUUUUAGUUUAAGAAUGUUGUCAAUAGUUUGUCACAAUAUUGUUUUAAACGUGCAAUGAGAGAGAAAAACGGUCGCCAACAAAGUUUCAAUCUCCCUCAGAAAGUAAGUAGAAGAAUGAAAGUAGAAUAAUAAUAAAAAAAAGGCUUAUUUAGAUAUUUAUAUAUAAUAUAACAACUAAUAUAUAUAUAUAUAUUUGUUUUACAACUGACUAAACACUUACAGAAAGGUUUUAUUUGUUAGCAUAGCAUGAUAAUUAAUACAUUUUUAAAUCAAUCACUUUGUCUCUGCACAAUGAACAUUAUCAAAUAUUAUUAAUGUUGUAAAAUAUAUUGUUCAUUGUUAGUUCAUAUUAGCUAAGGCAUUACCAAAUGUUAAGUAAUAAACUAUUGUAGUAAAGUGUUACUAAAUUUUCUUUUACCAUUUCCUUCACAAUGUCUACUUAUUUCUAUGGCUAACAGAUUUUGUAACAUUUGUCUUUUUUACAGUCUUACCAUUGCUUGUAAGUCGGAUUGGGUAAGAUGGAUCAUCUUUAAAGGAACCAGGAGUUAAGGCAGAUGUGGAGGCACAACGGGUGACACCAGACACACCCAAGCACAUUAUGUUUGGACAUUCAAUCAUGACAUGAUCCAUGUGGAUGCUGUCCAUUGAGGAAAGAGUUUGUUCAGCGGUUUCUGGAUAGAAUUAAGUCCAAAGAUGGGAAAAAGUGCACAUCCAGACAAGGAGCAAGCAAAAAGACAAGGAACUUGGUGCAGAGAAAAGCUGUGGCGAUUAACCCCCAUGUGAACAGCUUCAUGCAGUCCCUGAUUGAGUUCGAAUGGACGACUUCAAAGUAAAGGCCACUGUGGUCUGUCUGCCACAGUUUAAUUUUUAAUUUAUUUUUAGUGUUCAAUGAAAUUCAAGUAGAAUAUUUAAAACUAUGGGCCAGUGUUCUUUUUACCACAGUGAAAUGUUACCUUUUAGUCGAUGAUGGACUUUAAACUGAAAACUUCAAACUUUGGACCAGUGUUCUAUUUGCCUGAGUUAAAUAUGUUACAGCAGGGGUCUCCAAACUUGUUUAUACUUAUUGAUUU